ensembl:lncRNA
AGAUAACCACCUAACAAACCAUAGCAUGUGAUCAUGAGAAGAUAUUUGGCAUUGAAUUAUCUGCUUUAUGUAAUAACAGUAACGUAAAAAUAAUAAGUAUAUUACUCUGAAAUUGAAAUGUUUUUGCUGACCACAGAACGCAGAAGUUUCUGUUUCUCUCUUAUUAAUGAAUUACGACACUCAAGCACUCUCUGUAAGCUUCAGUGCUGUCCAAAUGAGAGGAAGUGUCAUUUAUAGCUGUUUAUUUCAUCUUUGUCUUUGUCUCGUCUGCAGACCGCGCACACAGAAGAUGCACCACAGCUCGAGUGCUUUCAAACAGGUGCUCCGACACGGACCAUUUUUCACCGGCCUGCGUUUUUAAUUCUGGACCGGAUCCAAACCCACGCUGACAUGAAGAAUUGAGAGGAAAGUGGCUUUACGAUUUCACAAAAGCUACAGUGUGACUCCAGUUAACCUCCGGCAUCAAGUUAAUGAGAGUCGUAGCAUCACUGUCAAAGACGCACACACGCACACACACACACACACACACACACACACACAGACAGAGGGUAUGAGAAAAUGACACAUGCUGAGACAGAGAGAGAGAGAGAGACGGGUCUGUUUUUGCAGGUUAUUUGGAUGGGAGUAUUUAUAGAGGCCUAACGGAGCAGCAAUGUGUGUGAUCUAUUAGAUACAGGGCUGUAACCACCAUAGACAUUGAGGAGGAUGAGUACACCCCCCCCCCCCACCAAAUAAUCAGAAAUGGCUAAAUUGUACCCCCCCAAUAUUUUAAAAUCUUGCACUGCACGGUACCCUCCAUUACACAGCGCUCUGUUUGUUGUUAGCAGGACAUAAAGGUUUCAAGGUACGUUUUUAAUUUAGGCUGGUCAGGUCCGACUUUGAAAACUAAAUAGUUCUCUCUUUAAAUAUGAAGAGGUCAAGCAACAGAUUAAUGAGUUAAUCCAAAUUUAACCAAAGGCUUAUGGACGCAAUUAUAAUAUGUGACCAUGCACCACAAUACCAGUCAUUAGGGUCAAUUUUUUAAAAUUGAGAUUUAUGCAUCUGAAAGCUGAAUAAAUAAUCUUUUCAUUGAUGUAUGGUUUGUUAU